GUUUUAACCCACAGGAAGCCAAUCCAAAACUUUUUGUUUUGGGAUUGACAAGAACUGCACCUUCUUUGCAGAGUCAUGAGAAAGUGUUGUUUAGAUCAGUGACAAUGAUCCUUUUGAAUACGUUUCCACUACCAGAAGCUCUAGUAUUGGUAUGGAGGAAUGAGUCUUCUCCCAAAUAGCUCCAGACCAUGUGGAAAAAGAACAUCCUGAACACUACCCUUCUUCAAAAAAUGUUAUUAAUAAAUGAAGCAUUUUUCCAAGAUAUGAUCUAUAAAGAUAUAUAGAACUGAGAAUACUAUGGAUAGCUAAGAAAACAAACAGAUCAACACAGAGUUUUCACUUGAGGCACAAAUGACCAGGCCCAAUUUUUCAUAUUUUGGACUCAUUAGCUAGAUUAGGCUCUAGCUCUUUGGAAAAAGUCUACAAUGCAGAGAAAGGUGGAAGGAAACAGAAGAAGAGGAUAACCAGCAGCAAGCUGGAUAGAAAAAAAGAGAGCACUAAGAAUGUAUAUGUCUAUACAUCUGUGUUUCUCCAAUGUUUUCUUCAGCUUCUAGCAUGCUACUAAUGUGUGAAUACACUCAUAUUAU